AGAAAUUGCAAAUUUCUUUGUAGCGAAUUUGUACAACAAUUUUCCAAUUGUUUAUGAUCAGGUGUUAGGAAUAAAAUAUAAGUGAAAUUAAAAUGCCAAAUCCACAACUGCUUAUUUAGUUUUGUUGUAAUCUUUUGUGUCAAUUAAGUUGUUUUGGCAAGAAAAUGACAGAUCCUUGGCUAGUUCAAAACUCAGGCCAACAGAAUAAUUCGGUUGAGAACGGUACAACGGAAAACGGUGUACAUAAGCAGCAAGAGGAGGAAGAGGCUCCAUUGGAAUUUGAAGAUAACUUCGCACCCCCAGAAAAAAGCAUUAGUGACAAACCCUCGACUUCAACUAACAUUGACGGGAUUAAUAGCUCUGCAAAUUGUCUUGAACCUUUGCCCGAUUCUGACAAUUACUUACGUGGUCUCGAGAGAAAAUUGCAGAAAAUCAAAAAAGGAGCUAAUUUAGUAGAAGCUUUAUCGGAGAAACGUAACGACUGUCUUCGCCAACUACUGAAUAGUGGUGAUGCAGACAACAACAAUGAAGUGUUAGCUUUAGAUCAACCUUUGAACAAUAUUGAAUUCUAUAGACAUCUUCAACCGGUGCAAGCUUUGUCUGUUGGUGAACUGGUACAUAUUGUCAAAUACGAUCAGUUACAACCGGAUCAAACGCAAAAGACCUCCGACCAGCAGCAAGAAUUGCAUGACGAGGACAAAGAAGAGACAAAAUAGUAUUAAAAAGUGAAUAAAAAUGAAUACACCAUUCGGCGAAGUAUUUCUUUUUCUAACCGACUUGGCUUGGAAAAGUCGAAUAACUAUACCGAUGCUAGUGACAACAGUCUUUCUCAUUAUGGAUAUACGUUUGCAAAUCGAAAUUAAUAUACAAACCGGGCAGGCGGCUGCUGAUUUGGAUGAUCUUGAUGAUGAUUAUGAUGAUGAUGAUGACGACGAUGAUGAUUCAGACGAUUAUAUAAGUGAAGGCUCGAGUGAUGAAGAUGAGAAUGCAAAUGUGUAUAUGGGAUUUGAACAGGCAGUUGAACGCGAGCACAAUCAGCAAGAUAAUAACAGCACUGCUAAUCGCUGGAGACGUUCCUUAGGCUUGAGUUAGUUUUUGUUUAUACAAUAAAUAUACUAUAUUUCAAUAUUACAUUUCAUUAACUGCAAAAAUAAUACAUACCUUUAACUAUUAUCC